rnacentral:rRNA from 1 species
CGGGAAGAGCUCAAAUUUGAAAUCUGGCGUCCUCAGGGCGUCCGAGUUGUAAUCUAUAGAGGCGUUUUCCGUGCCGGACCGUGUCCAAGUUCCUUGGAACAGGAUAUCAAAGAGGGUGACAAUCCCGUACUUGACACGACGACCGGUGCUCUGUGAUACGUCUUCUACGAGUCGAGUUGUUUGGGAAUGCAGCUCAAAAUGGGUGGUGAGUUCCAUCUAAAGCUAAAUAUUGGCGAGAGACCGAUAGCGAACAAGUACCGUGAGGGAAAGAUGAAAAGCACUUUGGAAAGAGAGUUAAACAGUACGUGAAAUUGUUGAAAGGGAAACGAUUGAAGUCAGUCGUGACCGAGAGGCUCAGCCGGUUCUGCCGGUGUAUUCCCCUCGGUCGGGUCAACAUCAGUUUUGUCCGGUGGAUAAGGGCGGUAGGAAGGUGGCACCCUCGGGUGUGUUAUAGCCUGCCGUCGCAUACAUCGGGUGAGACUGAGGAACGCAGCUCGCCUUUAUGGCCGGGGUUCGCCCACGUCCGAGCUUAGGAUGUUGACAUAAUGGCUUUAAACGACCCGUCUUGAAACACGGGA